GCAGAUCAGUCUUAUCUCUAUCUCUAGUUCAUGUUCGAGUUCGCAGGUCUUUCUUCAUGGUUUGCUAGGUUUUAUCUAGAUCAGAUCGAUCGAUUGAAGAUCUAUUAAUCGAUUGAACGUGAUUUCGAAGUUCAACCUUCUUCAGCUCGGCGAUUCAAUCUCAGAUUCGUUCGGCGAUUUCGAAGUUCUCUCUCGAUUUCAAAGCUCGGUGAUUCAAUCUCAGAUUCGUUCAGUGAGGAAAGUGAGCACCAUCAUCUACCAAGUUUUUUUAUAGAUAUUAUCUAUGAGUUCUAGCUUCGACCAUUCUUCUAGUGAAAGUGAGCAAUCAAGCUCUAGUAGUUCUAGUUCAGAUGAGACUCAGAACACACUCAAGAUGAAAGUCAUACCCGAUCCACCGGCAUCAUGGCAUCCACCAGGCAGUCUUCCUACCACAUCACGUAGCGGUAGUACAUCACAUGGCUCUGUUUCAGCUGGUAUGUAUCAACUUUGC